ensembl:lncRNA LINC01592 long intergenic non-protein coding RNA 1592
AAUAGGACUCAUGUCCUUUAAAGAAGAGGAAGAGACAUUAGGGAUGUGAGUGCAUAAAGAAAAGGCCACGUGAGGACACAGCAAGAAAGUGGUCAUCUGCAAGCGCAAAAGACAGGCCUCAGAAGAACCCAACCCUAUUGACACUAUGAUCUUGGACAUCCAGCCUCCAGAACUGAGCCAAAAUAAUGCAGCUUCACAUCUCCUUAAUGGACAGAAGACUACACUGUUUUUGCUGCACCCAGAGAUAAAAUUAUUGGUUUUGGAGUACCUUCACUGAUGCCAGGGGUGUCAUCUUUACCUUCCAUCACAUAAUAUAUAUAAAGAGAAUUUUUCUUAGCUUUAAAUGAGUUGAUAAGAGGACAAGAAGAAAGUCAAGGACUCCAUUUCCAGGAUUAAAAGCGGUUUUUUCCUUUGUCUUCCAAAUCCUAGCAGUAGAAGCAUUUGAGUUCUGCAGAAAUUACUGAAGUGGUUCAAGUGUGGGCAGUCAGGACACUCAGCCCACCAUACUCAACCCCAACUCAACCUCAACUCUCAGUACGGCAGAGAGACGGAGAACUCAGAGCUAUAACUUUCAGGAAUUCUCAAAACCUCAGACAAAAUGCAUCUUUGUUUUACCACCUGUUAAAGUAUAUCCUCAUCUGCCUCAGUGCACAUAAGUAUACAACACUGCAGAUUGUGUUUAACUUCAUUUGCAAUUAAUUUAACGCAUUUUGUAUCCAACAUUUCUACUAGGAAAUAGUAUUAGUCUAUCCCCAAACUAAAAUUCACUGCAAAAAUGUAAUUCACUCAAGAAAAAUAAUGAUAAUUCUUCAAACACCUUGAGAUGUCAUUCAACAAUCAUACCCAAUGGGUAAAAUUUAGAGUUCAACAUUUAGCUUGCAUUUCUUUCUAACCAAACAUCUCAAGUUCAAAAAAUAAAGCAGAUUGUUUUGUGCAUUUGUUAUCACUACCACAUCAAUGGUCACCUACACUUCCUGAGCCCCAAAUAGAACUCUCAGAGAAGCAUUGUGUAUUUGUCAAUAUCCUGGAGUUUCAAAACUCCCAAGUGUUGCCACCAUUUGACCUGAAAUUUCCUCUCUUCUCAGAUUCCUGCCUCUAAACACAAAACAAACAAACCUUUACUUAACUUAGCUCAUGUGUGAAUUUUUAGGGUCAUUUGUUUCAUAUCCAGAAAGACUUCAAGUCUCUUUGCUAAAUUUUGAUUUACCUAAGGCCAGUAGCCUGAAUUCAACUUUAGCAGUCCCAGGGCUCAGUAGAUUUGCCCUGUAGAUUCUGUAAUUGGAUAUUUAUGUUCCAUGUAUUUCUUCUUUCAGAGCAUAGCAGAAGUAUAGGGAUAACACCUUAGCUGAAUGUUGGCCCUAAAAUAGCUGCUCAUUUGUAGCACUCAGACGAAGCUGAAAUUAUUCACAUUCAGCCGACAUUUCCGUUAGGUGAGAUGCUGCCUGCUAAUUCACAUUUGCCUGGGAUUGCUCCUCAGAGUUCAGAUUUAAUUUUGAUAACAUCAACUCUAUCAUUUAAUAAAUAAUAAGCAGUAAAAAAUUAAGCCUAUUGUUAUUGGGCAUUUUGAAUGAAAGAAAAGCAGUAUGGCAUAUUAGGUUUAAGGGUUCCUCAAUAUCUUAAUCUAUAUUGCCUUCGGAAAGAAGCAAUCCUUAGAUAAAAAAAUAAAAUACUUUAAAAUUUCUCUCC